AUUCAAUUAGAUUCCUGUUUUGAUCUCCUUCUUCUAAAUCAUCAAUUAUUUUAGUAUUUUCUUCUUCUUUUUUCGUUACUCAAAAGGGUUUUGUUGAUUUUUCAUUUUUGGUUUUCAAAUUUUAAAUCAGUCAAUUAGGCUACUAUAAUAUGCAUUGAUAACUCAGAAUGGAUGCGAAACGACGAUUAUUCUCCAUCUCGAUUUCAAGCCCAAUCUGAUACUGUUAGUCUUAUCUGUGGAGCUAAAACCCAGGCAAAAUGAUUGCCUUUUAAUGGAAUGUAAAAUUAUGGGAAUUUGAUUUCGUUUCAUGAAUUAAUGGCAGUCUAAUCUGAAGAAUAUGGUGGGGAUUUUGACUAUGGCGGGAAAAGGAGUACGUGUAUUGGCUACUCCUACUAGUGAACUUUGAAAAAUCUUGUCUUGCAUGCAUGGUACUUAUUUUUUUCAGUCAUGUUUGGAGACUAUUAGAACCUUAGAAGUACGUGUAUUGCUUUACCAUUGCAUUCCUAAAGAGAGAACUUGGGUUCGAACUUAGAACCUUAGAGACAAACCCAAAAGUUAGUCUUUAUGAACUUAUAACGGACAUGGAGGAUACUUUGUUUCCUUCUAAUAAGAGAAAUUGACUUAUAUGUUGAAGGAAAACAACAUUAAUAGUUUUACGGCUUGUUAUUUGGAUCAUACGAGUACUUUACUUUACUUAACUUUAGCAAAUCUGUACCAUGACCUAUGUAAAGCAUGCAGUUCUGUGAGAAAUCCAUGUUUGAUAACCUCUGUGAAAGACGAGCAGCUUUUUUAUUAGAGUUUAGAAAUGAAGAAUUUGUCAUUGCUGUUGGGUUUCAGGAGUUAUAUUUAGUGUAGCUUGUCAUUUUUAUGCAAAAGUAGCAUGUAAUUAAUGAGUAAUCUAUGAUAUUUUAUUUACAUAUUUCUGAAUUAAAGGUCAUAUUCCUUCCACUCUAUUAUCUAUGUCAUCAUCGUUACCUUCUUAUUCUCUAUGUACGUUUCAAUGCAUACAUGUCUUGAAAUGGGGGGAGAGAUGAACCUAGAAGCUGGAAUUCAGAUUGCUUAGUUGGCUCUAAAACAUCGCCAAAACAAAAAUCAGCAGCAAAGGAUUAUAGUUUUUGCUGGAAGGGACUCGUAGCUUCAGCAAUGGUGUUUGCUAUACAAAUAUAUGUUGUUGAUAGAGGAGGCCCUUUGUCUCAAUGUAUUUGCCUCUGCAAACCUUACUUGCGGCUUUAAUAGUUGUUGUUACAUUGGGUGAAGAAUUCUACUUGGGAGGGGUAGUAGGAGCAGCAUUGAUAAUAGUUGGAUUGUAUCUGGUUAUCCUAGGAAAAAGUGAAGAGAGCAAGUAUCUGUCUGAAAAUGAACCAAUUUAUUCAGUGUCUGAAAAUAAUGACAUGGAAUCCACCUUCAUUCGGCCAUUGCUGGGAAAUAAAUUGCAGAGCUGAGGCAAAUGGAUGAAUUUUCAUAUCAGCUCCAUGGCAAAGUCAGUCAUCCAAUCCACACUAAUGCCAUUUGAAGCAGCUUGCUGCUAUUGAAAUUGAAAGACAACAAAUGUAAAUGAUGGAGUUUCCAACAAUUGAAAUGGGAAAAGAAAAGUUGAAUUGUAUUUAUAUAUGUUUAUUUGACCCUGUUGGUUUGGAUCAUCAUUUUGUGAAGAAAUUCAAUGGUAGUUGCAACUUUUU